rnacentral:misc_RNA from 1 species
UCUUCCCAGGCCCACCACUUUCAUCGAGUGAGCAUUCGUCUUCUGGUUACGGGGCCAUAGCUCAGCUGGGAGAGCGCGUGCUUUGCAAGCAUGAGGUCGUCGGUUCGAUCCCGUCUGGCUCCACCAGAUGGUUUGAUCACCUGCGACUGACCGUCGUCCGCGAAACAUCACUUCGCAUUCACUAGUCUGGAUAGACAGUGAACUGCGUGUUUUCUGACAUCGUAAAGAGGAGAUCGAUCCGAGUUGGGUCGUGCAGCAGAUUGUUGCGCGGAUCCUUCAUUAUCUCCGGAUCAUUUUCGGCGCUCGCUUUCAGCCGUGAGGCUGAACGCGAGUUGUAAAAUGAUCCUUUUAGCGAAGCUUGACCGCCUCGCUAUCGGAACGAUCUUACGAAGCAAGCUGGUCUUUCUAGUCAAUGUCCGGCUGUGAGAAUAGCGCUCGUCGAGGGCGCGUGCCGCAAGGCGGUUCUUACAGGCAGCAUUCUGCCGAGUGUGUGGACAUUGAUAAUGAGAGCAAUCAAGUGCCUUAAGGGUGUUCGGUGGAUGCCUUGGCGCUGAGAGGCGAUGAAGGACGUGCUACGCUGCGAUAAGCCGUGGGGAGCUGCGAAGAAGCUUUGAUCCGCGGAUUUCC